AGUCCCCUCCGCCGCAGCGCGGCGCGUGCCGCUCCUCCUCCCCGCCCUUACGGUCCAGGCGCCGGGAGUGGCUCUUUAAAAGGCAGAGUCGGGUCUGCAAGGGGAGGGUAGGGGGUGCUGACCCCCGCGGAGGCCCGGCCUCCGCCCCGUGCGGCCGCGGCGCCCCCGCCGGCCAGGCGCUCGCUCCGCCCCGCAGUCUUCGGGCAGCCCAGUGCGCGGCGUGCAGCGGCGCCGAAGCCGGAGCCGGAGCCGGAGCCGGAGCCGGACGCGCGGCCAGGCUUGGCCUCCCUGCGCAAGACCUGCGCCCACCCCACGCGAGGCCGGCGCCGCGAUGGCAGAGAUGGGCAGCAAGGGGGUGACGGCGGGGAAGAUCGCCAGCAAUGUGCAGAAGAAGCUGACCCGCGCGCAGGAGAAGGUCCUCCAGAAGCUGGGGAAGGCGGAUGAGACAAAGGAUGAGCAGUUUGAACAGUGUGUCCAGAAUUUCAACAAGCAGCUGACUGAAGGCACACGGCUGCAGAAGGAUCUUCGGACCUACCUGGCCUCGGUCAAAGCCAUGCAUGAGGCCUCCAAGAAGCUGAACGAGUGUCUCCAGGAGGUGUAUGAGCCCGACUGGCCCGGCAGAGAGGAGGCAAGCAAGAUCGCUGAGAACAAUGACCUUCUAUGGAUGGACUACCACCAGAAGCUGGUGGACCAGGCGCUGCUGACCAUGGACACCUACCUGGGCCAGUUCCCUGACAUUAAGUCAAGAAUCGCCAAGCGGGGGCGGAAGCUGGUGGACUAUGACAGUGCCCGGCACCACUACGAGUCCCUGCAAACUGCCAAAAAGAAGGAUGAAGCCAAAAUUGCCAAGCCUGUCUCGCUGCUUGAGAAAGCUGCCCCCCAGUGGUGCCAAGGCAAACUGCAGGCUCAUCUGGUAGCCCAAACUAACCUGCUCCGAAAUCAGGCUGAAGAAGAGCUCAUCAAAGCCCAGAAGGUGUUUGAGGAGAUGAAUGUGGACCUGCAGGAGGAGCUUCCGUCCCUGUGGAACAGCCGUGUAGGUUUCUAUGUCAACACGUUCCAGAGCAUUGCAGGCCUGGAGGAGAACUUCCACAAGGAGAUGAGUAAGCUCAACCAGAACCUCAACGACGUGUUGGUCAGCUUGGAGAAGCAGCACGGAAGCAACACCUUCACAGUCAAGGCCCAGCCCAGAAAGAAAACUAAACUGUUCUCUCGGCUGCGCAGGAAGAAGAACAGUGACAACGCCCCUGCGAAAGGGAACAAGAGCCCUUCCCCUCCACCGGAUGGCUCCCCGGCUGCCACCCCUGAGAUAAGAGUGAACCAUGAACCAGAGCCGGCCAGCGGGGCCACACCUGGGGCCACCAUCCCCAAGUCCCCGUCUCAGCUCCGGAAAGGCCCACCGGUCCCUCCGCCCCCCAAACACACCCCAUCCAAGGAGGUCAAGCAGGAGCAGAUCCUCAGCCUGUUUGAUGACACGUUUGUCCCUGAGAUCAGCGUGACCACCCCCUCCCAGUUUGAGGCCCCGGGGCCUUUCUCGGAGCAGGCCAGCCUGCUGGACCUGGACUUUGACCCCAUCCCGCCUGUGGCGAGCCCUGUGAAGGCACCCACACCCUCUGGUCAGUCCAUCCCGUGGGACCUCUGGGAGCAGCCCACAGAGAGUCCAGCUGGCAGCCGGCCUUCUGGGGAGCCCAGCGUUGCCGAGGGCACCUUUGCUGUGUCCUGGCCCAGCCAGACAGCUGAGCCAGGGCCUGCCCAACCAGCAGAGGCCUCGGAGGUGGCGGGUGGGAACCAACCUGCGGCUGGAGCCCAGGAGCCCGGGGAGACGGCGGCAAGUGAAGCAGCCUCCAGCUCUCUUCCGGCUGUGGUGGUGGAAACCUUCUCAGCAACUGUAAACGGCACUGUGGAGGGUGGCAGCGGGGCCGGGCGCCUGGACUUGCCCCCAGGCUUCAUGUUCAAGGUACAGGCCCAGCACGACUACACAGCCACCGACACGGAUGAGCUGCAGCUCAAAGCUGGUGACGUAGUCCUGGUGAUCCCCUUCCAGAACCCCGAGGAGCAGGAUGAAGGCUGGCUCAUGGGGGUGAAGGAGAGUGACUGGAACCAGCACAAGGAGCUGGAGAAAUGCCGGGGCGUCUUCCCCGAGAACUUCACGGAACGUGUGCAGUGACGGCAGAGCCCCUGCAGCCCUCUGGGCACUUGAAGAACAUCUUUUCCUGAAAAAUGAUAAGAAGGAAGAAAAGUGCUUGCUACCAGGUCUAUAAAUGAAGGAACACUAAAGUGACAAUGAUACUUCAAAAUAGGACCCCAGUAAAAUGGGCUCACUCAGCGCUGUGCGAUUGAUUCCUGCUUGCUGAGUCCUGAUCCGUAGUGUACUUUCUGAAGCGCUUCCUGAGUGGAGAGGCCUGGAAUCCGGAUUUCACUGUCACUGUGGCCUGAAGCUCCCAUCAGGAGGCCUAGCCUGGCCUUCACUAGAGACACCACACCCAGCUGCAGCUCAUGGCAGAGCAAAGAAAAAACUGACUGCAGAUGACAAGAACUGUGGUUAAUUUAUGACAGCAAGCAAUAAUACAGACAGGAGGCUGAAAUCCUCCAUUGGGAAAUGACUAUUUCAUGAGUUUGAUCAGUGUUAGGGGAAAAUGGCUUAUACAGAUAGCAAAGGUACUGGCAACCCUUCAGGGUCUUCUCGUAAAGCAGGCGAGGUCUGAAAUAUUUAUGUGAAUGGUGUUUUACUGAUACGAACUCAAUUUGGGGAGACUAGCUUCUCUCAUGCAACCUUGAUGAACAAUGAACAUAAUUACUUCUAGCAACGUUCUUUUUCUUGUUUUAUAAAGGGAAACAACAGAUCUUUGUGAAUUUGUAGGGGACCUCUAGUAGGUAUCUAAGCAUAUUUUAAAGAUUUUUUUUGCUGUUUCUGUAUUUAAGAUAUGAUCUCAGGAAAAAAAAAUUAAAGGAGUCAUCCAAGAUGAGGAAACUUGAUUCUUAAAGAAUAUCAUGGGUGCCUGAGAGACAAAUUUUGCCCAUCCUUGUAAUAAUUUUAAAAACGGUAAACAUAGAAGGUGACAUGAUUUUCAACUAUCAUUUUCGCAAGUGAGGGUUUGUGUGUUUUGAUUUAAAUAAUAAAGGACAUAAUACAGUCAGUAGAGAACACAGACAUUUUCCUGGUGAGACAAAAAAGUAUGCAAUACUUCACGAAUGGUAAAGAGUAACCUUUCGUACUGCAGACAAAGGCAGGAAUCAAGGAAGGCGAGAGGCAGCAAGCCCAUCCGAGUGUGAGAACUUUGCCAGCAUUUUAACCUAUUUCUGAGAAGAAGGUGUCUAAAAUCCAGGCAAAUAAAAUUCAGCCCUUUCAAUGCAGUCUUCAUAUUCUGAAUCAAAAUACUCUUGCCAUCUAAAACAAAAAUAUGCACAUUUCUAUUCUUUGCUUUUGCUUUAUGUGCACCACCAACCACUUGUGUUAAUGAUAACUUUCAUCUAAGCUAGCCAGCUUUCACAGAACACACUGGGAAGGUGGCAGCAAGUUGAGAGAAUGCUCCUUCCAGGAGCAUUCCUGCAGGUUGGCAGAGGAUAUGAACACACAUGUGUGAAUCUUCACAACCACAGAUGCCUUGUAGUCCUUGAGGUGUCAAGCAGAGAUAUGUUUAUUAACAAGACUCAAACAUAGAAACAGCAUGUACAAAAAUAAUCAAAACUAAACAAAGUACUUAGAAAUUUAGCUAAGUAUCCAAUGGUUCCAUUACUGAAAUACUAAGAUUUUUGCUAGCUAGAGAGUUUUAUUUAAUCUAUGACAAAACAGGUUAAUAAAUUUGUCUAAAUAAUCAUUCCCUUUAAUAUCAGGCGUGGUGGCGCACACCUGUGAUCUCAGCACCUCGAGACUGAGGCAGGAUCACAGUGAGUUCAAGGCCAGCCUAAAUCCAUGGCGAUGCUUCUGCGUGGUGAGGCUGCUGCACAGUUUGUCUCCCUGUUGCCCACAGGAACACCAGUUUUAUGGUUCUCAUAAAAGUACCCUACCCCUGAGCUCCAUGCCUCCAGAUACUCCUUUUUUCAAAUCAAAAUCGUUGAGCUAGUCUGACAUCAGAGAUUUGCCUUAAUGAUGCACACUUGGAUUUGUAAAACUAUUUCUUUGCUAGCUGAUUUUGUAUGAGAUCAUGUUGUUUCAAAGUGUAGGGAUUGUGAGAAGUUAGGAUUUUUUUAUAAACUGAUCAAAACAGUAUCUUUGAUUUAAGAGAUAAUAAUCUUUAAAAAAUUUUUUUUAUUUAAAGAGAAAAAAUCAAAACAGUAAAAGGGUAAAAGUAAUACAGAAUUUCAAAAAAAUAAACAGAAAUCACUAGUUAAUAGAUUACAUAUUGUCAUCUUAGAAAUAGUUGUUCAAAUUACAAAAUUAAAGCAUACAAAGUGGACAUUCAGACAGUGAGAUUGCAUACAGUUCUGUUCAAUGAUCCAACAAAAACUUAGUAAUAUGGUUUUCUGUCUUACACACUUAAAUAUACAUGCAGUUAUAUCCUUUAGAUCACUUUCUUUUCCUCUCUUUUUUACAAUAACAAUUACACAUUUUGGGUUUUAUCACUCCCACAGUUUUUAUUACAUUUUUUUAAAGCGAAUAAAGCCAAAUGUGACAAAACAAAACAUAGUCAGUUAGAACAGAAGGAUGGACAUAGUACAUGAUGUAAAAACAGAAUACCAGGUGAUCAACAAUGGUUACCAUUAUGCCUCUUGCUAUCUUAAAAAGGAUUGCCUAUAUCAUCAGGUAUAAUAAAAUUGAACAAAACAGUACAGAACAAAACCAAUAAAACCUAAACAUUGGAGACCUUACAGGACUUCAAAAGAAGUUAAUAGUCAAACCAGAAUGGACAUCAGAGUGAAUCUUACUGCCUUCAAAGUAGUUGCCUAUACCCUCAAACUUGAUACUAUCAAACAAAACAGAAUAGAGUAAAAUCAGUCAAAACAAGAUGGUGAAAGCAAUACAGGGGUUUAAAUCAAGUUAAUAAAAAAGUUACUAUAAUAUAUCCUGCUAUUUUUUAAUUUAUUUUUUCCUUUAAAAAUAAUAAGAAAAUAAAGUUAAUUUUUAAAAAAAGGGGAGAUUGAGAUAAAAGAGGGCAUAACAACAUAACAACACAGGUCAGAAAAGAACAAUUUAAGCAACAUAGUGUUUCACCACCAGAUAACCUGACAUGAUAGUAGUUACCAUAAUGUCUUUUCCCUUGAAAUACUUGAGUAUAACUUCGUAUACCAUAGUGUCAAACAUUCAAGACAGUGUGAAUAUUUCAAGAGAAUGAAAAUAUUACAAGGUAUUUAGAACCAGCUAACAGAAAAUGAACAAUGGUUUCUAUAUUAUCUCUUUGCCUAUAAAAAAUUGAUUAUGUUAUCAUAUAAUAAAAUCCAAUAAGAUACAACAUGGUAAAACCAAUGGAGACAGAAGAACAACAGCUUGAUGGGAUUUCAAAACAAGAUGAUAUUAAAUCAGCACUAGCUAUUUUGAUGCCUUGUUUCUUCAAAAUAGCUGUUUAUACUAUCACAGACAAUAAAAUCAAACAACCCAGAAUAAAACCAUUCCACUAAAUGAGUGAAAACAUUAUAAAGCUUCAAACCAAUAUAAUGGGGAAUAAUGAUUACCACAUACUUUUAUGUAUUUUUAUCAUUUCUUACACUAGGGAAACCAGUAUUUAUAAUCUUAAUUCACUAAUGUAUUUCCCACUACAUACCAAGUGGGCACUGCAGGUUUUGCAGGAGUUUGGAAUCACAGACACACAGGGAGGCGGUGCCUUCAGCCCAGCCACUGCAGUCAAGGCUGAGACAAACACGAAACAAGGUUUUCGCAGUCCCACAUCUCAAGAGCUGUUCCUCCUCACAGUGGGCCUGCGUUGUCACCUGCUUGAGUGCAACAACAAAGGAACAAGGACUAAGGAGCUGCAUUUUCUGCCAUCUUUCACUUAGAAAAGGUUGGAUCCCUACCAUCCGUUUGCAGAGAUUACCAAAUGGUCAAAUCGUAAACUAAAUUGCCAAUUGUAGCCAAGAGCGGAGUCUAAUUUAUCAGUCACAUAUGGACCAGAAAUAAAAUAUAAACACAAAUUCAGCAAAGAUUGGAGAGAUAAAUUGAGAGAAACAAAAGUGAAAGUUCUUUGGUUACUUGGAAUUCUCUCAAGAGGCCAAGAAAUGAGACGCUUUACCCCCAGUACUCACAAGGUGCCUUUUGGCAGAAUCUGCUUGGUCUUGCUGUGGUACUGCUAACAUUGUUGAAGGGUGAUUUUCAAAAAGGUAGAAUCAUAGCUUUAAGAAAUAUAAAUGAAUGCAUGUUAAAGAUUGUAAUGAGGUAUUCUUGAAAAAGGAUCCAGUUCAAAUAUUUAUGUUCUCCACUGGGCAAAACCCGUUUUUGCACUACAAUGGACAGAAAAUGUUUUUACCAUCCAGCCUUCUAUGAAUUAAUUUAUGUCUAAAGAAUUGCAAGGUAGCCCAGCUAAUGACAGUCAAAAGUAUGUGUCCCUGUGGAGUCACAUAGCACCUGGACAAUAGCCAGAUUUCAGUGAAAGGUCAUUCUGUCAUGUUUUUUUUCUCGCCAUUCCAAAGUGUUUUCUUCCUGACAGAAGGAUAUAAGGAAGUACAUCUGCCACAGAAUAGAAACCAGAUUAGUGGCAGAUACUGUUAAGCUCAGUGACUAAGGGUGGUCAGUUGCUAACAUUUUAUUGGUGCAUUUUAGAUAUUCAUGGUCAUGGUGUAUGAUCUUCUGGAUGAUUUGCUACAUCUUGUUUGCUGGUGUCGUAUUGACCGGUUUUGCAUCCAUGUCUAUUAGGGAGAUUGACCUGUAGUUCUCUUUUCUGGUUUUGGUAUGAGAGUAAUGCUUUCCUUCUUCCAGGAAUGAAUCUGGGAGUAUUGCUUGCCUUUCAAAUUCAUUAAAGAGUUUGAGAAGUAGUAAUAUUAGAUAUUCUCUGAAAAUCUUGUAGAGUUCAACAGUGAGUUAGGGCCUAAGGAUUUCUUUGUUGGUAGGUAUUUUUAAUUAGCAAAUCUCUAAUUUCAUUGACUGAUAUUGGGUUGUUUAGAAUUUUUAUCUUCUUGACUCAGGUUUGAUAGUUCAAUAAUACCUAGAAAUCUAUCCAUUUCUUCUGUGUUUUCCAUCUUAUUAGAAUACAGGUUUUUGAAGUAGGUAUUGAGGAUCUUCUAGAUUUAUACAGGAUCUGUUGUGAUUUUACCCUUUUUAUUCUUAAUUGCAUGGAUUUGAGUCUAUUUUGGUAAGGUGGGCUGAGAGUUUAUCAAUUUUAUUUCAUCUUUCGAAGAACCAACUCUUUGACUCAUUGAGUCUUUGUAUUAUUUUCUUAGCCUCCAUUGCAUUAAUUUCUGUUCUAAUCUUUAUAAUUUCUUCCCUUGUACAAGCUUUAGGUUCAACUUUAGGUUGGUUAUUUGAACUCACUGUUUUUCUGAUAUGGGUAGUCACUGCUAUAAAUUUCCCUUGUAAGACUGCUUUCAUUGUGUCCCAUAAGUUCCAGUGUGUUGUAUCGGGAUUAUUGUUCAAUUGUAGAGUAAUUUCUUCUUUAAUUGUGUCUGUGACCCACUGGUUGUUUAGAGAGGGGUGUUUAAUUUCCAUAUAUUUAUGAAGUUCUUGUGGUUUCUUUUGCCUCUGAUUUCCAACUUCAUUGCUUUAUGGUCUAAUAUGUAUAGGAUAAUUUCAAUUCCUUUGCAUUUACUUAAGCAGGCAUGUGGUCUAUUUUAAGCUAGUAUGUGGCCACAUUUAGGGAAUGUCACAUGUGCAACUCAGAAGAAUGCUUAUUCUGAUGUCGUGGGAUGGAACACUCUGUAGACAUAUACUUAAGUCCAUUUGUUAAAAAAUUGGAUUCAGUUCUGAUAAAUUUAUUGAUUUUUCUUUUUGUAUAGUUGAUCUAUUUGUGACAGUGACGUAUUGAGGUCCUUCAUUACAAUUGUAUUAAUGCUUAUUUGAUUUUCCAUGUCCAUUAAUAUUUUUAUAUGGUUGGGUGGGCUGGUAUUUUGUGCACACGUUUAUGAUUGUUAUCUCUUCCUCUUGGAUUGCUCCCCUUACAAGGACAUAAAGACCUUCUUUGUCUCUCUUAACUAGUCUUGUCUGGAAAUCCAUUAUGUCUCCAAAUAGAGACACCCUUUCUGGGUUUCUAUUACAUGGGCUAUUGUUGUUCAUCAUUUUACUCUCAGUAUGUGAAUUUCUUUUGAAAUUAAAUGUGUUUCUUGUAUAUAGCAUAUUGUUGGAUCUUGCUUCUCAAUCCAUUCUGCCAGUUUGUUUCUUUUGAUUAGUGAAUUGAGACCAUUUACAUUGAUGGUUAUAACUGAUACGAAUUGACUUACCCUUGUCAUGUUACUUUCCAGUUGUUGGUUUGCUUUUCUUCCCUUUUGUUCAAUUGCUUGAUUUGCCUGGUAGAUUCAUUCUUUUGAGGUUCAUGGAGCUGUAGUCCUUGUUGUCUUUCUAGAAUGUCCUUCAGAAUGUUUUGGAUUGCUGGUUUGGUGUUCAUGAAUUUCCUCAGGUAUUCUUUGUCAUGGAAGUGUCUUAUUUCUCCACGAAUUUUUGAAAGAUAGUUUUAUAGGGUACAUCAGUCUGGGUUGGAGGAAGUUUUCUUUUUAGGAUUUGAAAUAUUUCACUCCAAGCUUUCCUUGACUUCAGGGUUUGUGUUGAGAAGUCAGCUGUGAUUCUGAUGGGUUUUCUUUUGUAAAUAAUUUGUUUCUUUUUUCUAACAGCUUUUUUAAUAUUCUGUUUUUGUGCUAAAUAUCUGGAAUCUUGACUAUUACAUGCCUUAGUUUAGAUUUUUUUGAGCAUAGCUGGUUGGAAUUCUAUGUGCCUCAUUUAUCUUCACAUCAAAUUAUUAUUCCCUGCUUGGGAAUUUUUCUGCCAUUACUCCUGUGAGCAGGUAUUUUAUGUCAUUUAUGCUAUUUUCUCCUUUUUCAUUGACUCUGAUCAAUCAUAUAUUAUUUUUCUUUGCACCAUCUUGCAGCUGUUGGAUUGAUUUUUCAUGGUCUCUUGAUAUUUUAAAGAAAUCUUUCAUGAGUGGUAGCUGCAAUUCUGUCUUCUGUAUCUGAGAUUCUGUUCACAUAUUGACUCAUUCUGCUGUGUAUACUUUCAAUGGAGUACUUAAUCUCAUGGAUAUCUGAAUUUGUUUUAUGGAUUCCAUUUCUUUUCUAUUUUGGGUGUUCGUGGUUUCCAUCAUUUUCCUAAAAUUUAUCUGUGUCUACUUUAGAGUCACUAUGCAUGUUUUUCAUUAUGGUCAUCAUCUUUAGUUAUCUGAUUAGUUAUUUUUGGUUUUCUAGAACCUCAUUCAUCUGCUUUGUUAUUUCCACUGUUACUACUUCAGAAAAUCUAGGUGGGUGGCUUUUGGAUUGUUUCACCUCUUUGCCUCGUUGAUUUAUCUUUGAUGAGCUAGAAGUCUGAGGUUGCAUCUUGCCUACAGAGUGUCCUUGAUUAGCCUAGGGUGCCUUAAGAUACAGACAAUCACUCUGACUCGGUGCUUAUCAGAGGUAUGCAGCUGGACUAUAGAUACUGUCCAAGUCAGAAACUUGGUCAGAGACCUCUAAUUUCUAUCUAUGAAAUACAUAUGUUUGCUGUUUUAUAAAUGUGUUCUUACAUUAUAAUUGUGUCUCAACAAAUUCACUACAACUAUAUUAGAAAAACAAAACCAGAAAAUAAGUAUUGGAGGAACUGUGGAGAAGUGUUUUUCUGUUGGUGGAAAUGUAAAACACUGCAGCUGAUGAGGAAAACAAAAUGAAAUUUUAUCAAAAAAUUAAAAAUGAAUUAUUAUAUGAUUUAGAAAUUCUGUUUCUGCAUGUAUACCAGGAAGAAUUGAAAGCAGAGUAUUAAAGAAACAAUAUAUAUUCAUGUUCACAGUAGCAUUAUUUACAGCAUCUAAACUAUGGUGUCUAUCAGUGGAUGGAUAGGUAAUCAAAAUGCAGUCAUAUACAAAAUAGAAUAUUACUCAACCAUAAAAAGGAAAACAGUUCUGACACAUGCUAUCACAUGAAUGAAACUUGAGGUCAUGGUAUGGAGCAUCAGAUGGUUAGAAUAGCAUGGGAAAUAAGCCAAUCACAAAAAAGAACAAUGCAUUAUGAUUCUAGGGAUAGGAAAUACUUGAGAUAAUCAAGAAGUAGAAUGAAUUUGUGGAGGUGAGUGGUUGUGAUGAGUUUGCCACAUCAUUGUAGUUCUCCUGCGUCAGCCUUUUACUGGUAUUGAACUAUACACUUAAAAACUGAUGGGAUGAUAAAUUUCAUGUCAUGUGUUGAAAGCAGAAGAAUAACCUGGGAUUUGUUAUUCACAUAGUGUGAGUUUGUGCUUUAGGCUUUUUAAGCCUCAGUUUUCACGAGAGGGAGAACUCAGUAUUAUAUUAUCCCUCCUAUUCUUUCCCUCUGCCUUCUUUCUUAAAAAUGUAAAACUAAGUAUCAUCAAUCUGGAGUUUUAUAUAAUUUAACCAUGAGUCGGAAAAUGCUUAUUUUGACUUGGGAAAUGUAGAAUGAAAACAAGACAGUAAGAUCCCCAUUGAUCGAUAGCCAUUACCACGAAAAUGUGUGCUAGAAAAACGGUUGCCCCGAGAUUUCCAGAUGAGAGAGCCAGGUACCAAUGAGCUUUUCACUUAGUUGAGAGCUUAGUUCCUUAAACUGUUAGGAAAACUGUCAUAAAAAUUUAAAACGUUUUCCCAGUAGAAAUAAAAGUAACUUAUGCCUUCCUUUGGAUGGUGUUAUAAACAAUAUCAUACUUCUAAUUUUAUUUUCUAAUUUACUUGUCAUCUCUACAGAAAUAAAAUUGUAUUGAUUCAAAGACUUGUACAAAAAAUGUUCAUAGAAACUUUGCUCAUAACAGCUUCAAGCUGGAAACGAUGCAAAUCGCUACCACCAAGCGAUGGAUAAAUUACCUGUGGUAUUGCCAUACAACAGAAUACUGGUUAAUAAAAAAGGAGGAAAUUAUUGAUUUAUACUA